CCGAUGUUUAAAGAUUUAUCGGCUGCGGAUGGCCAUGCGGCGCAUUAGCUAGUCGGCGGGGUAACGGCCCACCGAGGCGACGAUGCGUAGGGGUUCUGAGAGGAAGGUCCCCCACACUGGUACUGAGACACGGACCAGACUCCUACGGGAGGCAGCAGUGAGGAAUAUUGGUCAAUGGCCGAGAGGCUGAACCAGCCAAGUCGCGUGAGGGAAGACGGCCCUACGGGUUGUAAACCUCUUUUGUCGGGGAGCAAAGCGAACCACGUGUGGUUCAUUGAGAGUACCCGAAGAAAAAGCAUCGGCUAACUCCGUGCCAGCAGCCGCGGUAAUACGGAGGAUGCGAGCGUUAUCCGGAUUUAUUGGGUUUAAAGGGUGCGCAGGCGGAGGUGCAAGUCAGCGGUCAAAUUGCGGGGCUCAACCCCGUACUGCCGUUGAAACUGCAUCCCUUGAGUGCGCGAGAAGUAUGCGGAAUGCGUGGUGUAGCGGUGAAAUGCAUAGAUAUCACGCAGAACUCCGAUUGCGAAGGCAGCAUACCGGCGCGCAACUGACGCUCAUGCACGAAAGCGUGGGUAUCGAACAGGAUUAGAUACCCUGGUAGUCCACGCAGUAAACGAUGAACACUAACUGUUCGGCCAGAAUGAUGGCUGAGUGGUACAGCGAAAGCGUUAAGUGUUCCACCUGGGGAGUACGCCGGCAACGGUGAAACUCAAAGGAAUUGACGGGGGCCCGCACAAGCGGAGGAACAUGUGGUUUAAUUCGAUGAUACGCGAGGAACCUUACCCGGGCUCAAACGACACAGGAAUACUUUUGAAAGGAGGUAGCCCUACGGGGUCUGUGUCGAGGUGCUGCAUGGUUGUCGUCAGCUCGUGCCGUGAGGUGUCGGCUUAAGUGCCAUAACGAGCGCAACCCCUAUCGCCAGUUACCAUCAAGUAAAGUUGGGGACUCUGGCGAGACUGCCGGCGCAAGCUGAGAGGAAGGCGGGGAUGACGUCAAAUCAGCACGGCCCUUACGUCCGGGGCGACACACGUGUUACAAUGGCAGGUACAGAGAGAAGCCUGGUGGUGACACCGAGCGGAACUCGAAAGCCUGUCUCAGUUCGGAUCGGAGUCUGCAACCCGACUCCGUGAAGCUGGAUUCGCUAGUAAUCGCGCAUCAGCCAUGGCGCGGUGAAUACGUUCCCGGGCCUU
rnacentral:rRNA from 1 species